UACGAAGGGAGCUAGCGUUGUUCGGAAUCACUGGGCGUAAAGCGCGCGUAGGCGGCUUUGUAAGUUAGAGGUGAAAGCCCGGGGCUCAACCCCGGAAUUGCCUUUAAGACUGCAUCGCUUGAAUCCGGGAGAGGUGAGUGGAAUUCCGAGUGUAGAGGUGAAAUUCGUAGAUAUUCGGAAGAACACCAGUGGCGAAGGCGGCUCACUGGACCGGUAUUGACGCUGAGGUGCGAAAGCGUGGGGAGCAAACAGG
rnacentral:rRNA from 1 species